GAAGCGGGAAAUGACACACUCGCACAAGGAAAGGCAUGAUUUGAUUCCAUUCCAAGGAACAAUUUUGUCCGACAUCUGUAACAACAGAGACUUCCUUUCUUCCAAUGGUUUCUUGAAAAUAUGUGCUAGCGUUUCUAUCAGAAGGUUGAGGCAUGAAUCUUGAUAGCAGAUAGCACUUUCUGAUAUUACAGAUUUCAUAAUAGGACCUAGACAUUUUUCUUUAGUUUUGUUUUUUUCAACCUCUGAAUACUGAUUUAAUGGGGAUAUCUAAGAUUGACGAAGUAACUAGAUAAAAAAUAAGAGAAAAU
rnacentral:lncRNA from 1 species